rnacentral:rRNA from 1 species
AACUGAAUCCAUAGGUUAAUGAGGCGAACCGGGGGAACUGAAACAUCUAAGUACCCCGAGGAAAAGAAAUCAACCGAGAUUCCCCCAGUAGCGGCGAGCGAACGGGGAGGAGCCCAGAGCCUGAAUCAGUGUGUGUGUUAGUGGAAGCGUCUGGAAAGGCGCGCGAUACAGGGUGACAGCCCCGUACACAAAAAUGCACAUAUUGUGAGCUCGAUGAGUAGGGCGGGACACGUGGUAUCCUGUCUGAAUAUGGGGGGACCAUCCUCCAAGGCUAAAUACUCCUGACUGACCGAUAGUGAACCAGUACCGUGAGGGAAAGGCGAAAAGAACCCCGGCGAGGGGAGUGAAAAAGAACCUGAAACCGUGUACGUACAAGCAGUGGGAGCCUCUUAAUGGGGUGACUGCGUACCUUUUGUAUAAUGGGUCAGCGACUUAUAUUCUGUAGCAAGGUUAACCGAAUAGGGGAGCCGAAGGGAAACCGAGUCUUAACUGGGCGUUAAGUUGCAGGGUAUAGACCCGAAACCCGGUGAUCUAGCCAUGGGCAGGUUGAAGGUUGGGUAACACUAACUGGAGGACCGAACCGACUAAUGUUGAAAAAUUAGCGGAUGACUUGUGGCUGGGGGUGAAAGGCCAAUCAAACCGGGAGAUAGCUGGUUCUCCCCGAAAGCUAUUUAGGUAGCGCCUCGUGAAUUCAUCUCCGGGGGUAGAGCACUGUUUCGGCAAGGGGGUCAUCCCGACUUACCAACCCGAUGCAAACUGCGAAUACCGGAGAAUGUUAUCACGGGAGACACACGGCGGGUGCUAACGUCCGUCGUGAAGAGGGAAACAACCCAGACCGCCAGCUAAGGUCCCAAAGUCAUGGUUAAGUGGGAAACGAUGUGGGAAGGCCCAGACAGCCAGGAUGUUGGCUUAGAAGCAGCCAUCAUUUAAAGAAAGCGUAAUAGCUCACUGGUCGAGUCGGCCUGCGCGGAAGAUGUAACGGGGCUAAACCAUGCACCGAAGCUGCGGCAGCGACACUAUGUGUUGUUGGGUAGGGGAGCGUUCUGUAAGCCUGUGAAGGUGGCCUGUGAGGGUUGCUGGAGGUAUCAGAAGUGCGAAUGCUGACAUAAGUAACGAUAAAGCGGGUGAAAAGCCCGCUCGCCGGAAGACCAAGGGUUCCUGUCCAACGUUAAUCGGGGCAGGGUGAGUCGACCCCUAAGGCGAGGCCGAAAGGCGUAGUCGAUGGGAAACAGGUUAAUAUUCCUGUACUUGGUGUUACUGCGAAGGGGGGACGGAGAAGGCUAUGUUGGCCGGGCGACGGUUGUCCCGGUUUAAGCGUGUAGGCUGGUUUUCCAGGCAAAUCCGGAAAAUCAAGGCUGAGGCGUGAUGACGAGGCACUACGGUGCUGAAGCGACAAAUGCCCUGCUUCCAGGAAAAGCCUCUAAGCAUCAGGUAACAUCAAAUCGUACCCCAAACCGACACAGGUGGUCAGGUAGAGAAUACCAAGGCGCUUGAGAGAACUCGGGUGAAGGAACUAGGCAAAAUGGUGCCGUAACUUCGGGAGAAGGCACGCUGAUAUGUAGGUGAAGCGACUUGCUCGUGGAGCUGAAAUCAGUCGAAGAUACCAGCUGGCUGCAACUGUUUAUUAAAAACACAGCACUGUGCAAACACGAAAGUGGACGUAUACGGUGUGACGCCUGCCCGGUGCCGGAAGGUUAAUUGAUGGGGUUAGCGGUAACGCGAAGCUCUUGAUCGAAGCCCCGGUAAACGGCGGCCGUAACUAUAACGGUCCUAAGGUAGCGAAAUUCCUUGUCGGGUAAGUUCCGACCUGCACGAAUGGCGUAAUGAUGGCCAGGCUGUCUCCACCCGAGACUCAGUGAAAUUGAACUCGCUGUGAAGAUGCAGUGUACCCGCGGCAAGACGGAAAGACCCCGUGAACCUUUACUAUAGCUUGACACUGAACAUUGAGCCUUGAUGUGUAGGAUAGGUGGGAGGCUUUGAAGUGUGGACGCCAGUCUGCAUGGAGCCGACCUUGAAAUACCACCCUUUAAUGUUUGAUGUUCUAACGUGGGCCCCUUACCGGGGUUGCGGACAGUGUCUGGUGGGUAGUUUGACUGGGGCGGUCUCCUCCUAAAGAGUAACGGAGGAGCACGAAGGUUGGCUAAUCCUGGUCGGACAUCAGGAGGUUAGUGCAAUGGCAUAAGCCAGCUUGACUGCGAGCGUGACGGCGCGAGCAGGUGCGAAAGCAGGUCAUAGUGAUCCGGUGGUUCUGAAUGGAAGGGCCAUCGCUCAACGGAUAAAAGGUACUCCGGGGAUAACAGGCUGAUACCGCCCAAGAGUUCAUAUCGACGGCGGUGUUUGGCACCUCGAUGUCGGCUCAUCACAUCCUGGGGCUGAAGUAGGUCCCAAGGGUAUGGCUGUUCGCCAUUUAAAGUGGUACGCGAGCUGGGUUUAGAACGUCGUGAGACAGUUCGGUCCCUAUCUGCCGUGGGCGCUGGAGAACUGAGGGGGGCUGCUCCUAGUACGAGAGGACCGGAGUGGACGCAUCACUGGUGUUCGGGUUGUCAUGCCAAUGGCACUGCCCGGUAGCUAAAUGCGGAAGAGAUAAGUGCUGAAAGCAUCUAAGCACGAAACUUGCCCCGAGAUGAGUUCUCCCUGACUCCUUGAGAGUCCUGAAGGAACGUUGAAGACGACGACGUUGAUAGGCCGGGUGUGUAAGCGCAGCGAUGCGUUGAGCUAACCGGUACUAAUGAACCGUGAGGCUUAACCUUACAACGCCGAAG